UACGUAGGGGGCAAGCGUUGUCCGGAUUUAUUGGGCGUAAAGAGCGUGUAGGCGGCCAUGUAGGUCCGUUGUGAAAACUCGAGGCUCAACCUCGAGACGCCGAUGGAACCAUGUGGCUAGAGUCCGGAAGAGGAGAGUGGAAUUCCUGGUGUAGCGGUGAAAUGCGCAGAUAUCAGGAAGAACACCCGUGGCUAAGGCGGCUCUCUAGUACGGUACUGACGCUGAGACGCGAAAGCGUGGGGAGCAAACAGG
rnacentral:rRNA from 1 species